rnacentral:rRNA from 1 species
GAUGAACGCUGGCGGCGUGCCUAAUACAUGCAAGUCGAGCGAACGGACGAGAAGCUUGCUUCUCUGAUGUUAGCGGCGGACGGGUGAGUAACACGUGGAUAACCUACCUAUAAGACUGGGAUAACUUCGGGAAACCGAAGCUAAUACCGGAUGAUAUUUUGAACCGCAUGGUUCAAAAGUGAAAGACGGUCUUGCUGUCACUUAUAGAUGGAUCCGCGCUGCAUUAGCUAGUUGGUAAGGUAACGGCUUACCAAGGCAACGAUGCAUAGCCGACCUGAGAGGGUGAUCGGCCACACUGGAACUGAGACACGGUCCAGACUCCUACGGGAGGCAGCAGUAGGGAAUCUUCCGCAAUGGGCGAAAGCCUGACGGAGCAACACCGCGUGAGUGAUGAAGGUCUUCGGAUCGUAAAACUCUGUUAUUAGGGAAGAACAUAUGUGUAAGUAACUGUGCACAUCUUGACGGUACCUAAUCAGAAAGCCACGGCUAACUACGUG